rnacentral:tRNA from 1 species
GAAUGUAGCUUAGUGGUAGAGCACUUGCUUGGCAUGUACAAGGUCCUGGGUUUGAUUUCCUGCACA